UACAGAGGGUGCGAGCGUUAAUCGGAAUUACUGGGCGUAAAGCGUGCGUAGACGGUUAUGUAAGUCUGCUCUGAAAGCCCGGGGCUCAACCCCGGGAGGCGGGUGGAUACUGUCAAGCUCGAGUCCGGAAGAGGAGUGUGGAAUUCCUGGUGUAGCGGUGAAAUGCGCAGAUAUCAGGAGGAACACCAAUGGCGAAGGCAGCACUCUGGGACGUGACUGACGCUGAGACGCGAAAGCGUGGGGAGCAAACAGG
rnacentral:rRNA from 1 species